ensembl:snoRNA
CCUGCCCUCAGGGGCAUUGCAGAUGUGGCCUCUGUGUCACACUUGUGUCAUUGGGUGGCAGAAAGAGAGGCUUGUCUACGCUCAGUGUUCUGGCCUGUGAACAUCUGGAUUAAUUAAGAGUCUGACACU